GUAAUCGGUCAAUCAUUUAACAGUGCAGAUGUAACCUUCAAGCGUAGUACAUCAAUCAUGCGUUUCAUUUUUCCAAACUCCGUAUACGUGAAACAGAAGCAAGAAACCGUCGUGCCUUUGAUCAGCCUCGUCUCUAAUCUCGGAGGCGUUUUCGGUCUAUGUUUGGGUUGUAGCUGCAUCAGCGUGCUCGAAAUAUUAUUCUUUUCAUAUCUGUAUAUUAAGAGAAAAAUUCGUAAGCACUUUAUUAACCCACGUAAGUGAGUUGCCACUAACACCUCAGUCUUCCUACAUAGCAAGCUUGUAUAGGUAGGUAUAAAAUGAAACCCAAAAAAUAAGGUGUGUGUAAACAUUUUAUAUUUCCCUUUAUAUAUAAUAUAUACUUUUAUUUCACUACUUCUCGCUUUCAAAUUCAAUUAUAUUUUCAAAAAUGCUUUGCUAAUUUUUCUUGAAAAAAUACAAAAAGUUACACUAAGAUUGCUUUAUCAAAAAAUGUUCUAGAAAAAAAUUACAUCUCAUAAUUUAUUUAUCAACUACAAUGUUCAUAUUAUGCAUAAAAAUACUUUAAUAAUUGAGUUUUAAAUUUAUAAAUAUACUUAAAAUUUAUAAAACCACGGGUAAAUUGCCUAGGUAAAUAAUAAUAUUAAUUAUUGCACUGUACAUUCUUUUUUUAAAUGAUCAGCGUUUUGUCUCAUAUUAUACAAAAUAAAUACUUUCCGCCAUCUUUGCCGCCAACGCAAUAAUACUUUAAAGGAAAUGGCUAAAACUAAAAACUAACGACAUAAAAUCAAUAUUUGGCUUAGAUUUUAAUUUAAACUAUAAUAAAGCACAUAAAAUAAUAAUUUGGUCUAAGUUAUGCAUAUUACAAUUAAAAUGUUAAGUGAUCUUAAGCUAACGCCCUAAAACUAAUUAUAUUCCAGUGGUCAUCACCAAUAAUCAUAUAAUCUAGUCUCAUGCCAAAAUUGUGUAAAUUUUUUUUUCUUCCUACGUUUUUUUUUCCACAAUUUUCUUGUCAUUUAAUUAAUACUAUUAUGAUUGUUAAUACAUAUUUGUUUCCAAUGCAGUUCAUUAUUAAGGCAUGUACAGUAUACAUAAUUAUUAUAAAUGUAAUGAGUAAUGGCAUGAGUAGUAUGUAGGGAGCGAGGCCGCGGAUAUUGGGCCGCGACACGAACACUGGACGUAUCACAAAGGUUUAACAUUAUAAUAUAACGUUACUAUACCAAUACCUUAUCCAAUGGAACGGUAAAACAUUACACAUCAACAUUGAGCUAACUUACAAUCAAUAUAUUAUCAAUAUAAUCUUUAAGUAAUAUUGCUGUUAGUUCGGUUAACUACACGUAUGUAUUUAUGUAUAUAAUUGAAUAAAAUUCUGACUGCAGAAACGGUAAUGGCACGAGGUUUUUAUUAUGACGAGACAUUUCGAGGACAAAACGAUAAAACUGUGCCGAGAAAUUCAACAGUAACAGAGAUCCUUACUGACUUAUAUAAAUAAACGCACCGAACGAAUCCAGCCUCGCCGGACUAGCACAACACGAAAACGCAUCCCUGAAACGCUUCAAAUAAAACUCUGUUUUAUUAUCGACAUCACAAUUAUUAUUACAAUUACUACUGCAGCGAUACAACUUCUUCAUAUAAAAAAUAUAUAUAUAUACUAUAUUCGCUUCGGUACACGGGUCGCGGGUCGACGCGUGCGCCGCCCUAGUCAGAAACACAAAGCACGCGAUGAGCGAGGACGUCCUCUAGAGUUCGAUAAGCCGGGUCGGGGGUCACAGCGACACCAGCUCGGGGGGGUCGGCGGCGCCGGGCGGGGCGGGGCGCGGGGGGACCACGUACGCGUGCGCGUGUCCUAGCGGGUGGGGAAGCACUGGGGUCAACCCCGUGCCCCCGUCCAUGAGGCUUUCGUAGUUAAACAUGCCGUUGCUAGGCGUGCUGAUCUCGAUGCCGGCUAUUUUGCUGUUCCCGAGUACUUUGUUGUUGUGUAUCUGUAAAGGAAGGCCUCGUUAAAUUUGCUCACAUAACGGGCUGAUAUUUUAUCAUAUUCUUUUAACGAAAUGUAUCCCCUCUUUACAAAUAAUCCGUGUCUAAAUUGCGAAUAAAGCCAAAGAUAUUAUGAUGAGCUCGUUUUUUUUUUCGUACCUAUGCUAAGGUUGACAAGCCUUGAGAAGCUAUUUCACCCUCACCUUAACGUGUAGCUGAGCUCACAGGGCUCAAACCGGAGUGUUGCUAACACUGACCCUAGCAAGAGCAGUGCUUCGCAGAAUCUACCAACGAAUCGGAAACGCGACCCACUAAGAUCCGGCGAGAAACUCAGUGGGCUGUGUCUGUGGGUUAAUUUACUUGUCGAGCCCUUCGUCGCAAGCGACGGGUUCGGCUAGGACGGUGACCGGUGCUUGAGGUACCUAAAAGCACCGCUAGUGGAUCGGAAGGAUCCGUAAUGACGCAUUUAGGGCGAUGUCGAUUGUUUACCAUUCGGUCCACAGGAUUGGGUAAGAAUUUGCUCUAUUGUGUCCCUAACAUAUGUAAUAUAAUAGACGAUCUAUCAAUAUCCUCUUUAGUCUGCCUACCGCGCUAUUAAUAGCCGAUAGAUAAUAUUAUUAUAAUCAUUUCGUCUAUGCAUUUCGAAUAAAUAAAAUAUUAAGUUACGUCAUUUACCUGUGCAGGUGUGAGACUGAGCGGUACUUGUAGUGAAUUAGGCCUAUUGGGUCGAGAAAUAGCGGGCGGGGUAUCCAACGUGACCGUAUCCCCACUCGUCACCACGCCAGGGUUGGCCGAAGACAGCAUUAUCCUGAGAAAAAAAAAAGAGAAAACAAACGUUUAGUAUGAUUUAAAAAUGUACUAUUCUUAUUAAAGUCUCAGGUUAUCACUAAAAACGAAUGUUUAAAAUAUUAAUUGAAUUAUUAUUUUACAAGUAAUUUUGUUUUGUUGUUUCCGACAAAACUUCUGUUUAACAACAUUUAUUUUGCACAUAGUUACAAAUACAGAAACAGGAAAAACGUCUAUUGUUCUGCUAGAUACCUACUUUUUUUGUUUUGAAAACUUUUAUCAACUAUUUAAUUAACAUGUCUGAACCGCUUUUGACGGCUUGCAGUAAUAAAUAUGCCUUUUUUAUUAUAAUACGUACACAUACUGCAGACGAGCAAACACAAAUGUCGCCCAUGUCAUUAACAAUGUACACUUGACUGUGUCAUUAAGAUCUUUAGUUUUGAUAUUUACUAUGAAAACUAGCGGGUCCGUAUGUGUAUGUGAAAUCCUCAAUUUGUUGAUGCUCUAAAGAAAAUUGCUCCUACUUGGGUCAAAUAUAUUCAUGAAUAGUAUAAGAUGAGCGUAAACAAUAGUCAGAACAUGUUGGCAGUCACUGGAGGAGAAGACGCAAUAAAUAAACAACACAGGAAGUGCUGAACGAAAUAUACUCAUGAUAAAUACAAUGAUUAAUGGCCACAUUAAUCCGAAACUCUGCGAAAAAAAUAUAAAUUCGAAAUUAUACAAGAGCCUGUAUGCUUCUAGACUGGACAGACUUUGAAGAUGGAUAAAAAAAAACUUCUGGAAGGAAUCGUUUGAUAAACUUCGUCGAACCUCUAAAUAUAAGUUUUUCAUGAAUGCGUUCGUUAUUUGAGAUUUAAUUUUCGGAGUCAUGGUAUGGAGAUUCAAGAUACCCCGUCCACUAAUUCAAUGUUGCACUUUCUAGAAAAUCACGCACUUUGGAAAAAACCUUGCUCGGCAAAUUCCUUCUUUUCAGACAGAGAAUUUUAGUGGCCGAUAAAGCUCAUUGAAUUUUGGAGUUUAAGUGCCUCUGCUUAUCACAUUCAGUUCAUAAUCGCUGAAACAGCAAAAUCAUGGUGGUACCCUAAACUAUCCAGGCAGCCCCAAUAAGAUGCAGUGAAGACUUACAAAAGGCCUCCAAGUGGGGGAUCGAUAAGGUAACGAAUGGCGUCCAAGACUUAAAUUACAUAUUUGUAAUAAGUUGCUUUUAUGUUAAAAAAAACUGUACAAUAUGAGUAGGCACCCAAUGAUUUGGUAGACGUUAUACUGAUUAAAAUGAACCCGUUAACGAGUGCACAAGAAGGGCUGCGGUACGCGAGUACGACCCGAAAUGAUGACCACGACCACUCUGCCAAGAGCGCAUGCGACUGAGAAGAAUACUGAUAAAAUCUUAGUUAUAAGUAAAUUGCAAAUUACCUUUUUUCGGUCGACGGUGUUGUGAAAAUGUUAUCCAACCCCAGCAUUACUGGGUCGACUGUGGGGUCUAUGACUUCGGUUUUGACUCGAACUCCGUCCUCCGGGUCCGGAUACGUGUAAACUUCCUGGAGGGGCUUCACGUCCGGCGGACUCGAAGAGCGGUCGCUGAGCCGGCACGUUAUCAUAUGGUUCUGCAAUAUCGUUUGAAGGUGCUCCCGGUCCGCGUUUAACUUUCUUAUUUCCUCUUGGAGCGACUGUCUCUUUUGCUCCAAUCUAUCGGUCUCGUCUUGCAGUUCGUUAGUGUGAUCGAGUCUGCGUUUGCGACACCGCGCGGCCGCCAUCUUGUUCCUUUCGCGGCGUAUCUUUCUUCGUUCUUCCUCUUCGGGCGAUAGUUCCUGCGGUGCUUUGUUCGGUCUACGACCGCCCAUGUUGCGUCGUUUCGGCGCCGGGAGACCAGGGCUGCUGCUGCUGUCGCCGCUAGCGGAGAGCGGGCCCGGCGACACGUGCAGCGCGGUCGUCGGGCCCGAAUCACAGUAUCCCACCGAAUUAAGAAUACCUGUAAUUUAUCAAACAAUUCCAUUGAUUUACAAAAUAUUAUUAGAAAUAUAUACAGUAUUUUGAUAUUUACUUUUUUUAUUCUUUUUUGUUUAUUGCUUAGAUGGGUGGACGAACUCACAGCCCACCUGGUGUUAAGUGCUUACUGGAGCCCACAGAAAUCCACAACGUAAAUGCGCCACCCACCUUGAGAUAUAAGUUCUAAGGUCUCAAGUAUAAUUACAACGGCUGGCCCACCCUUCAAACCGAAACGCAUUACUGCUUCACGGCAGAAAUAGGCGGGGUGGUGUUACCUACCCGUGGGGACUCACAAGACUUCCUUACUUAUUCCUUCACGUUGGAAGUCAAUCCUGAAGAUUUCUUAAGUACGUAUUUCAUUUGAAAAAUUGGUACCCGCCUGAGGUUCGAACAUCGGUGCAUCGCUCAACACGAAUGCACCGGACGUCUUAUCCGUUAGUCCACGACGACUAACAAAUGGCGACUAACUAACAAGUGGCGGUUGCUCGUGAGUAUCGCGCAUAAAAUCUGCCCACAGCAAUGAUACCGAAUGACGACCACGACCGCUCUGACAAGAGUGAUUGAAACGACAAAUAAAAAAGAAAUUACAAUGAAUUAUAUCUAUGUACUCACCGUAAUUGUUGGCGUGCGUGACUGAAGGUGGUACGAAGCCGACGUGAGUGGUUGGUUCGCUUCGGCAGUUGGUCAACUCGAUGUACGUCUGCUCGAAGUUCCGCAACUGAGUGGGGGUGAUGGUCGCCGUCGUGCGGGUCGGGACUCCUGACUGGAGUCCUUCGAGGUUUGCCAA